rnacentral:misc_RNA from 1 species
AACGCACGAGACCUGCGGACCUGCGGAGGGAUCAUUAACGAGUGUAACUUACCCUUUUUUUUAAAAGAGGGUAGUACCUCCUGUCCUUUGUAGGCCCCUUUUUAUUGGGGGGCUUUUUAAGACUUUCUGCUUCGGCGGGGUUAUUCCCGCCGGAACACCCUCAAAAAACUCUUCAAAAACUAAUUCAGUCCGAGAAUUUUUGAAAAUAAAAAAAACUUUUAACAAUGGAUCUCUAGAUCG